AACGAACGCUGGCGGCGUGGAUAAGACAUGCAAGUCGAGCGAGAUUUUUUCCUGUAGCAAUACAGGGAAAAGUCUAGUGGCGAACGGGUGCUUAACACGUGGGCAACCUGCCGAGAAGUGGGGGAUAGCUCGCCGAAAGGCGAAUUAAUACCGCAUGUGAUCAGAGUGGAAAUCCAUUCGAAAUCAAAGUCGGGGCAACCUGACGCUUCUUGAGGGGCCCGCGGCCUAUCAGCUAGUUGGUGAGGUAAUGGCCCACCAAGGCUUUGACGGGUAGCUGGUCUGAGAGGACGACCAGCCACACUGGGACUGAGACACGGCCCAGACACCUACGGGUGGCAGCAGUCGAGAAUUUUUCUCAAUGGGGGAAACCCUGAAGGAGCGACGCUGCGUGGAGGAUGAAGGUCUUCGGAUUGUAAACUCCUGUCAUUGGGGAACAAUGCGUAAGUAUUAACUGUAUUUACGUUGAUAGUACCCGAAGAGGAAGAGACGGCUAACUCUGUGCCAGCCGCCGCAGUAACAC
rnacentral:rRNA from 1 species